CCCCUCCACAGGACUGGUGUGUAACAGGACGUUUGACCAGUAUGCCUGCUGGCCAGAUGGACUUCCUGGAACAACAGUCAAUGUUUCCUGUCCAUGGUACCUGCCCUGGUACCGCAAAGUCCAGCAGGGUGUGGUGUAUAGAGUGUGCAGUGGGGACGGACGCUGGGCCCCAAAGAACACCAGUGAGUGUGAGCAGGACGACCCAGGACAGCAGCACUAUGGUAGCAUCCUCAGUAAGUUCCGGGCCAUGUACACAGUGGGCUACUCCCUCUCCCUCGGAGCCCUGGUACUGGCUUUGGGCAUCCUGGUGUCAUUCAGG